UACGGAGGGUGCAAGCGUUAUCCGGAUUCACUGGGUUUAAAGGGAGCGUAGGUGGGUUUGUAAGUCAGUGGUGAAAUCUCCGUGCUUAACAUGGAAACUGCCAUUGAUACUAUAAGUCUUGAAUUAUCUGGAGGUUAGCGGAAUAUGUCAUGUAGCGGUGAAAUGCUUAGAUAUGACAUAUAACACCAAUUGCGAAGGCAGCUUACUACCCGAAUAUUGACACUGAGGCACGAAAGCGUGGGGAUCAAACAGG
rnacentral:rRNA from 1 species